UGAGAAGAAAAAACCCCCAAAAAACUCUCGAUUCAAUUUAAUCAGCUGCGUUCAUCUUUGAAAUUCGCGCAAACGAUCGACACUUUCUCCCUCUAACAUUUCUCUCACAAGAACAGAGAUGGUGAAAGAUCCAGGUCUCUAACCUGAUAUCAACAAGAAAGCCAGAGGUAAUUCAUCAGUUUUUCAGCCUAUUUUUAUAACCAUUUAUCUGCACGUUUGUUGACUUGCAUAUGAAUAUUCGGUUUCUGAUUUUGUGUAAUGUUCGUAUGUGCAACGAGUGUGUGUGUGUGUUGUUUUGCAUCUGUUGAUUAUUGUAAAAUCGGUGUUUUCACAUAUGUAUUUCCACUUGUGUACGCCAAAUGCGCCUCACAUGUCUCUUGCCUCGGCUUCGUGGACCCUAUUAGCGUGUGGUGCUUUAUAAAACACACCUUGCAUCAAAUGUGUCCUGCAAAAUUUAGGAUUUCUGUAGCUUUAUCUCCAGUGAUCAUUCAAAGCUUAUUCUAAGAAGUGGUGAUGAAUUUCUUAUUAAGGGUCACGCGUGCCAAAUUUGUCCUUGAUAAAGCUCGAAGAUGGAUGUGGAAGGAACGAGGCACGACGACAGUUAACCGAAAGUAUAGGUGAGGUGGUUGGUGGAGUAAAAACUUCUUCAUUUUGUUGACGCGUUUCAUCAAUACGUUAUGGACAGAGUAAUAACCGCCUUACACAUUCGCAAAUGAAAAUGUUAUUAUCUUUCCUUACCAAUGUUCAUAUACGGGGUGUACUGUAUAUGUAGGUGUACCACAGUUCAUGGAACGAGUUAUGUGAAGGUUACAAUGAUCCGUGUUAAAGAUAGAACGAGUUAUCGGCUUUGUUUCUUUUUAUUAUAGUGGGCAUUGAUAGCAAGCCGGAUCAACAACAUACUUGGACUGGAUUUGGACUUCUAUUCCGUGCAGCAGACGUUAAGUAGUGGCGGAACAGUUGCUGCAAUCAAAGCUAGAUGUCACAAGGAAGUUGAUCGCAUCGACAAACAAUUUGAUGAUUGCAUGGCGUUCCUCCUCAGGGUUUUAUCUUUCAAGCUUAACGUGGGUCAAUUUCCACAUUUGGCGGAUUUAGUUACGAGAAUUAAUUACAACAACUUUUACAUGUCCGACACUGGUAACUUGAUCACCGCUCCUGCGUCGGACUCUGUAAAUUUUAAGUUGGCCAAGACUGUAUCAGUUUGAAUAGCGAAAAGAUGAGGGUUUGUUUAGUUUCAAACCUAGGCUG